AUACAUCACAUGGAGAACAGCGAUGGCAGAGCUCCAUAUGGCAGACAUGCAAAGCAUUUCAAACAAUGAUUCAAACAGCGAUACAAGCGAUCGAUCGAGCGCAAGUGAGGAUAUCCAAGAUUUUGAAGAGUUGGAGGAAGAAGAGGAGGUUGGAAUUUUACAUGUUGGACCUUACAUGUACGAGCCAGAUGCUAAUCAGGAUGCAAACAAUGUGCCCAGUCGACCUGACAUGGAAUGGAGACAAGACCCAUCAAGAUUGGUGUACUAAUGGUAAAUGCCAGCAAAUGCCUCCAGCAGUUGAAUGUGUUUGCUGCCAUGAAAUUCAAGGAGUAGUGACUGUACGUCGACAAGGAGAGGAACACUUCAAUCAAGUGCUGGACUGCAUCACCGACCAUCCUGGACUCAAAGCUGUGUGCCUGGACCCACAUGGAUUACAGGUGGCAUGGAUGACCUACAAGCAGCAGUACAAAGGCAAGGCAUUUGAUGGGCCACAGGAUGCGCUGAUGCUGGAAGUUUCUUGGUCAGGACAACCGUGUUGUGCUCCCAGCAUGCGCCGUGUCUUGUAUCAGGGCACAUUUUCCACCACCAGAAGAGGAGUCAGCUGUACUCAAAGGGUUUCGUGUU